rnacentral:rRNA from 1 species
AUGAACGCUGGCGGCGUGCCUAAUACAUGCAAGUCGAGCGAACAGACGAGGAGCUUGCUCCUCUGACGUUAGCGGCGGACGGGUGAGUAACACGUGGAUAACCUACCUAUAAGACUGGGAUAACUUCGGGAAACCGGAGCUAAUACCGGAUAAUAUAUUGAACCGCAUGGUUCAAUAGUGAAAGACGGUUUUGCUGUCACUUAUAGAUGGAUCCGCGCCGCAUUAGCUAGUUGGUAAGGUAACGGCUUACCAAGGCAACGAUGCGUAGCCGACCUGAGAGGGUGAUCGGCCACACUGGAACUGAGACACGGUCCAGACUCCUACGGGAGGCAGCAGUAGGGAAUCUUCCGCAAUGGGCGAAAGCCUGACGGAGCAACGCCGCGUGAGUGAUGAAGGUCUUCGGAUCGUAAAACGCUGUUAUUAGGGAAGAACAAAUGUGUAAGUAACUAUGCACGUCUUGACGGUACCUAAGCAGAAAGCCACGGCUAACUACGU